CGUGGGAGGCAAUCCACGUCCGUCGCGCUUUCAGCAUUGGCCGUAGAAGAAAGAAUGCUGGAGAGAGAGAGAGAGAGAGAGAGAGAGAGAGAAUGGAUUACAGUUUAGCAGCGUUGAAGCUCUUCUGCGUGCAGCUAAAGGACGCUCGCCCGACCGUUACUCCAUCUGCCAUGACUCUCGGUUCCAUUCUCUUCCAGCGCGCUUGGUUGCAGGGGAUUCUUGUUUCGGAUAUGGAGGAAGGGUGUUUCGUGCUAGAUGAUGGGAGUGGCACCGUCGAGCUUUCCUUGUCCAAUGAGUUUCGGCACCAAGAGUGGAAAACAGGAAUGUAUGUUAUGGUGGUCGGGAUUUAUGUUAUUCGGACAAUCGAUCAGCCCUUCAUCAAGGUUCACAAGAUUGUUGAUCUUUCAUCUUUUCCUGAUCGGGAGGCAUUGUGGUAUUUGGAAGUGAUUGAGGCUUAUAAGUUGUUCUACCAGCCUUCAUUGGAAGAAUGAUGUAUUUUGAUUUGCUGCUUCCUCAUCCAAUCCCAGCCAUUGGAUUCAUCCAAUAUGGGGCUAUUACUCACAUGUCAGGUGAUGGAUCUCUUUCGUAUCUCCUCAUCAAAGAUUCUGUACGCACGCUUUGCUUGGCUUGGAGUUUGGAGAGGGCCACAAGGUUUUUCUGUACUUGCUCUUUGCAAUAUGGUACAAAUUUAUUAUUAAUUUUUAAACACUGAGUUUGAUUAUUCCUUUACAGAAUUGAGCUUCAAGCCACAUGCCGAGUCAUGUGCCAGGUCAAAUUCCCUUUGUCCAAAUUGACAUAAGUUUCAUUUUUCUUUGUUUUUGUUUGAAUUUAAAUUAAAAAUUCCACGCGUUAUGGUGGAGGUUUUGCACAUAUUUCUAAAACUUGCUGACUUGACUCAAAACUUAGCCGAGUCAACUUGAUUUAGGGAGAUUUUGAGCCGAGCCGCUGGGAAACUCAGAACUAUGUGUGACUUGGUAAGACUCAUUUUUUAAUUUUUUUAAAUUUUUUUUAAUGAAAGGUAAUACUCAUUAACUUGAUGACUUGGUCACUUUGACACGACACGCGACAUGAGUUAUAUUAAAAAGAAAAGAAGUGGAACUUGAGGUUUGAGCCCUAAACUUCAUCAACAGAUUUUUGCAGGUAGCAGAAUCCCUGCCAACACCAAUACAUGGUUUCGCAGGAGAACAGGAGUUCAUAUCUUCCAUGUCCCCAUGCAAAGCAGAACACACUCCAGAGCACUUCUCUUGAUGCUCCUCGUCACAUGUACUUCUCCGCCUUUCUUUCCCUUUCACCCAUCUUUUCAGCUUGUGCAGGAACACUCGCUUACUUGAACCAGCAUGCCCGGUAGCUGCAACAUCCGUGCGGGGCUCUACAUGCUCUGUGCCUAUUGGCAAACCAUCGGAAUUGUAUCCCAUGUCACACUGUCCUUUUUCAUCGUUUCCGGCAAAUUCCAUUCCAGGUUGUUUUCCCGUUUCCUCGUGCUCUUGUUUUUCUUCUUGAUGUUUUGUAAGCUCAUGUCGUAAGCACCCAUUAAUCCAACGUAAAUAUAUCAAUUCGUCAGCCUCACCAGCUUGCUCUUUGUGAAGCUGUUCUAGUUGAGAUAACAGUUCUUGGUAUUCAAGUCUCAGUUGGUGGUUGCGAUCCUCUGUCAUUGUCUCUUCUCCUUGAUUCUGCAUCAGGUAAAUGGUUAGGAAGUUAUGAUCCAAUCGAAGACCCAAAUCCCUGGUGUUUCCAGUCAUGCCAGCAUACUGUUUGGGCCCGCCUUUCAGUUUGAAAGGAAGAAUAACAAUAAACCAGUGGUAAUAUUCAACAUAUUUCCAACAACCUGAAAACUUUACUCCAUGUCCUGCCGGGUUGACUCGAAGACUCAACUCGAUAUUAAAUUAAUAAAAUAUUUAAAUAAUAAUAACUAUUUAAUAGGUAAUGAUUUUAAAAUAUGAAAUAAAUAAUCAAAGAUGCAGUGCAUGGCGUGCUGGUAGAAUCAGAGGAUUCUCUAAGACAAGGGUUUGAAUCUCACACUUUGCCCGUUUCUUCAUAUUUUGAAAAAAGAAAUCGCCCAGCAAGUGACUUGGUUUGAGUAGUGCUGAAUGCUGAGUCAACUGAGUCAGUGAGUCAACUCGACGAGUCUCACCAAGGCUUGACCGACAAGCUCACCAGUGAGUUUUGUGGUGAUUCAGCUCAAAAUCUUGUUGAGUCAAGUUGGCUCAGUCGAGUUUUGAGUUGAGUCACUUAGCUUUAGAACUGUGAUAUUUAACAUGGGAUAAGUCUACUUAUCAAUGGCAGGCAAAGUUUGAUGGUGGAGAUUCCCUGUCCAAUAGUCCAUCUGCAGUGGGGCCUACCAGAUGAUCAUUCUGGUUGGCUGAAAGAUGGAUCAAUCACAGUAAAUUUGAGCCGACCACUACAGGAAGAGGGGGGAAAAACACCUUUGAGGUUGAUGAAGCUAAGUUUUCUCCCAACUCUAAUUUCUCCAUCAGCCCUUUCUUCUCCUCUUCUAACCGAUCGACGGUUCUUCUUAGCUCUGAAAUUACAUCCUCCAACUCCCUUAUCUCUCCUUCCCUCCACUGCAACUCUUCAUUCUUGCUUGAAAUCUCUGCUUCUCUUGCUUUCAGAACCGAAGCGUACCGGUGCAGAACAUGCGCGCCUUCCCUAUUCCUCUUUGAAAGCUUCUUCGUCCUUCCCUGAAGCGACUCCACCUCCAAUUUUGCUGACACAAGCGCCUCCAUGACUCUUGGGUAUUCAGCUAGCAUAGCCUCGAGCCUCUGGUUUUCUGCUCCCAUGGCCUCGACCUUCAUACCCAAGAAUUCGAUCUGGGCCAUCUCCAAUUCCAAUGCGUUUUGGAGCUCUUUAAGAGCUGAACCAUACUCUUGCAGGCUACAGUAAUGAAGGAAACGUGCCUCGAGCUCUCCUUCCCUAUCUUGAAGAGCACUGACCUGGUUCUUAAGGCCAUCGAUCUCUUCCUCCAAGUCAGAUCUGUCUUUGCCAACGACUCGUCUGAUUUCCUCCUCCCCAGCUUCAUCUUGAAAUUGAGUCUGUGAGAUUUUCAAAGAAUCUGAACCUUGAGUUUGUAGAAGGUGGUGAUCUUCUUCGACUUCUUCUUCACCAUAUAAAGAGGUCGAAUUGGGGCUGUCCGGUGUGUCUUCAUCCUUGAACUCCUCACCAUGAAGGAUGUCAUCGAGACCAUUCAUUCGGUGUUGUUGAGGUGAUUGGGCUUUUCUUCUGAUGACAAUGGAGAAGAGAAAACCAGCCAAGGUGAGAGCCAAAGGGAUGCCAGCUUUGAGAAGGACAGGCGUCAUAUGUUCUCCUUUCUCCCUCAUUCUCUUCCUUUUCUCUUCUCAUGAAUUCAAGGAAUAUCUCUAUCUGUAUUUUUAUUGUCGUCAUCUCAAGCUAUUUGGGUUGCAUUGCUUGCA